CCCGAUGGACAGCAGUGGUGUGCAGGAGAGCCAGGGGGAGAAGGCCUAGCUUCCCAAGAACUCCACCUUGUGUGUCUCUCAGGCGUGAGGCGCACCCUGUGUACACCACGCUGCGUGUUAAUAUUAAUUAGUUAUGGGAACCUCGUCAGGGACUGCUCAUGAGUUCCAUGUGGUCCUGCCCACUCUCAAUCCUCAAGGUUCUGUCCCCCAUUUUGUAGUUGAGAACGACGACAUGGGUUACUCAACUUGCCAGUAGGCAUUGUGCCACCCCCACAUGCACAGGUCUCACAGCUGCUACUCCGGCACCACGUCUGCCUGCAUGACAUCCUGCGCCCCGUCAUGACGAUAGCGGACUGAACCUCUGAAACUUUUGGUUUGAGGUGGCCCCUGUGGUGGCAGCAAGAUGAGAAGCUGGGAAGGAGACAGACUGUGAGCAUGUCCAGCACUGUGGCGGGGCUGUCCCAGCAGCUAACGCAGAGCAGAGCACUCAGGGAUGAACACCGAGGAAGACUCCCCAAAGAAGUAACAGUCAUGCCAACAUCUUCAACGGAUUCCAUUUCGGUGAAAAGAGCAGGGUGUUUCUUGAUGUACAAAGAAGGAACUGGGAAGAGACCAGUAAGCCCAGAGCAUGCAAGAAAAAGAUGAAAGCCAUUGUCUUCUUUCACCUGUAUUUUGAUUUCUGACUUUACUAAUAGUCCCUUGUACCACUGGUAUUAGUAUCAGUUUUUAAUAGCUUCUCAACUGCUAGAUUUUUCCCCCUUUACUAUCCUUUGCCUCACUUUAAUAAAAAUAUUUA